AGUGAACGCUGGCGGCAGGCCUAACACAUGCAAGUCGAACGGCAGCACAAGAGAGCUUGCUCUCUGGGUGGCGAGUGGCGGACGGGUGAGGCAUGCAUCGGAAUCUGCCCAUUUGUGGGGGAUAACCUCGGGAAACCGGGACUAAUACCGCAUACGACCUACGGGUGAAAGCAGGGGAUCUUAGGACCUUGCGCAGAUGGAUGAGCCGAUGCCGGAUUAGCAAGUUGGAGGGGUAAAGGCCCACCAAGGCGACGAUCCGUAGCUGGUCUGAGAGGAUGAUCAGCCACACUGGAACUGAGACACGGCCCAGACUCCUACGGGAGGCAGCAGUGGGGAAUAUUGGACAAUGGGCGCAAGCCUGAUCCAGCCAUGCCGCGUGUGUGAAGAAGGCCUUCGGGUUGUAAAGCACUUUUGUUGGGAAAGAAAAGCAGCCGGUUAAUACCCGGUUGUCAUGACGGUACCCAAAGAAUAAGCACCGGCUAACUUCGUG
rnacentral:rRNA from 1 species